rnacentral:tRNA from 1 species
GCGCCCAUAGCUCAAUUGGAUAGAGCACCAGUCAGAGAAACUGGAUGUUGCAGGUUCGAGUCCUGCUGGGCGUG